UAAGCGGAGGAAAAGAAACUAACAAGGAUUCCCCUAGUAACGGCGAGUGAAGAGGGAAGAGCCCAAGAUUGGAAGCUGGCGCCUUCGGUGUCCGCAUUGUAAUCUCAAGAAGUGUUUUCCGCUUCGGACCAUGCCCAAGUCCUUUGGAAAAAGGCAUCAUAGAGGGUGAUAGUCCCGUACAUGGCAUGGAGCGCCCGGAGCUUUGUGAUACGCUUUCUAAGAGUCGAGUUGUUUGGGAAUGCAGCUCAAAAUGGGUGGUAAAUGCCAUCUAAGGCUAAAUAUUGGGGAGAGACCGAUAGCGAACAAGUACAGUGAUGGAAAGAUGAAAAGCACUUUGAAAAGAGAGUUAAACAGUACGUGAAAUUGCCAAAAGGGAAGGGUAGGAGGUCAGAGAUGCGACUUGGGAUUCAGCCUUGCUUUUUGCUUGGUGUUUUUCCCAAGCUGCAGGCCAACGUCGGUUUUGGGCACUGGAGAAGGGUGGAAGGAACGUGGCACCCUUCGGGGUGUGUUAUAGCCUUCCACUGGAUACAGCGACCGAGACCGAGGACAGCAGCGUACUCGCAAGAGCGGGCCUUCGGGCACCUUUACGCUUA
rnacentral:rRNA from 1 species